rnacentral:rRNA from 1 species
UACGGACCGUCCAAACGUUAUUCGGAAUUACUGGGCUUAAAGGGUGCGUAGGCGGUCCGGGAAGUUGGGUGUGAAAUACCUCGGCUCAACCGAGGAAUUGCGCCCAAAACUGCCGGGCUCGAGGGAGACAUAGGUGAGCGGAACUUAGGGUGGAGCGGUGAAAUGCGUUGAGAUCCUAGGGAACACCAGUAGCGAAAGCGGCUCACUGGGUCUUUUCUGACGCUGAUGCACGAAAGCUAGGGGAG